rnacentral:rRNA from 1 species
AGCAGCCGCGGUAAUUCCAGCUCCAAUAGCGUAUAUUAAAGUUGUUGCAGUUAAAAAGCUCGUAGUUGAAUUUCGGGGUCAGUAGAUUGGUCGUGCCACUGGUAUGUACUGGUCUUACUGGCUCCUCCUUCCUGAUGAACCGUAAUGCCAUUAAUUUGGUGUUGCGGGGAAACUGGACUGUUACUUUGAAAAAAUUAGAGUGUUUAAAGCAGGCUAACGCUUGAAUACAUUAGCAUGGAAUAAUGAAAUAGGACGUUCGAUCUUAUUUUGUUGGUUUCUAGGAUUGACGUAAUGAUUAAUAGGGAUAGUUGGGGGCAUUAGUAUUCAAUUGUCAGAGGUGAAAUUCUUGGAUUUAUUGAAGACUAACUACUGCGAAAGCAUUUGCCAAGGAUGUUUUCAUUAAUCAAGAACGAAAGUUAGGGAUCGAAGACGAUCAGAUACCGCCGUAGUCUUAACCAUAAACUAUGCCGACUAGGGAUCGGAUGAUGUAAUUUUUAAUGACUCAUUCGGCGCCUUACGG